rnacentral:rRNA from 1 species
AGUGAACGCUGGCGGUAGGCCUAACACAUGCAAGUCGAACGGCAGCACAGUAAGAGCUUGCUCUUACGGGUGGCGAGUGGCGGACGGGUGAGGAAUACAUCGGAAUCUACUUUUUCGUGGGGGAUAACGUAGGGAAACUUACGCUAAUACCGCAUACGACCUACGGGUGAAAUCAGGGGAUCUUCGGACCCUGCGCGAUUGAAUGAGCUGAUGUCGGAUUAGCUAGUUGGCGAGGUAACGGCCCACCAAGGCGACGAUCCGUAGCUGAUCUGAGAGGAUGAUCAGCCACACUGGAACUGAGACACGGUCCAGACUCCUACGGGAGGCAGCAGUAGGGAAUAUUGGGCAAUGGGCGCAAGCCUGAUCCAGCCAUACCGCGUGAGUGAUGAAGGCCUUCGGAUUGUAAAACCCUGUUGUUGGGAAAGAAAAGCUGCGUAUGAAAACGCCGCUAUUCUGACGGUACCCAAAGAAAAAGCAACGGCUAACUUCGUG